AUCCCUGUAGCGCAAUGGAUAGCGCGUUGGACUUCUAAUCCAAAGGUUUUUGGUUCGAAUCCCACCUGGGAUG
rnacentral:tRNA from 1 species